rnacentral:rRNA from 1 species
UACGUAGGGUGCAAGCGUUAAUCGGAAUUACUGGGCGUAAAGCGUGCGCAGGCGGUUUUGUAAGACCGAUGUGAAAUCCCCGGGCUUAACCUGGGAACUGCAUUGGUGACUGCAAGGCUUGAGUGUGUCAGAGGGAGGUGGAAUUCCGCGUGUAGCAGUGAAAUGCGUAGAUAUGCGGAGGAACACCGAUGGCGAAGGCAGCCUCCUGGGAUAACACUGACGCUCCUGCACGAAAGCGUGGGGAGCAAACAGG